rnacentral:rRNA from 1 species
AAAGAAUAAGGAUAGCGCCUGCCCGGUGACGAGAGUUAAACGGCCGCAGUUAAUAGCUGUGCUAAGGUAGCGCAAUCAAUUGUCCCUUAAUUGAGGAAUGGUAUGAAUGGCUGUACGUGAGAUAAGCUGUCUUUAUUAUAAUAGCAUGAAAUUUUCCUUUAAGUGAAAAGACUUAGAUUUUUUUAAAAGACGAGAAGACCCUAUCGAACUUAAUAGUUUUUAAAAAUAAUAAUUUAAAAAGAAGUUUUACUGGGGCAGUAAGAAGAAAAAAAUAAUUCUUCCUUAGAAAAAAAGAUCCCUUAUUAAGGACAAAAGAAAAAAGUUACCGUAGGGAUAACAGCGUUAUCGUUUUUAAGAGAACUAAUCGAAGAAACGGUUUGCGACCUCGAUGUUGGAUUUAAAUUUCUUCCUUGGCGCAGUAGUUUGGAAAAGUAGGUCUGUUCGCCCUUGAAUUG